UACGAAGGGGGCUAGCGUUGCUCGGAAUUACUGGGCGUAAAGGGAGCGUAGGCGGACAGUUUAGUCAGUGGUGAAAGCCCAGGGCUCAACCUUGGAAUUGCCAUUGAUACUGAUUGUCUUGAGUAUGGGAGAGGUGUGCGGAACUCCGAGUGUAGAGGUGAAAUUCGUAGAUAUUCGGAAGAACACCAGUGGCGAAGGCGGCACACUGGCCCAUUACUGACGCUGAGGCACGAAAGCUAGGGGAGCAAACAGG
rnacentral:rRNA from 1 species